rnacentral:rRNA from 1 species
GACGAACGCUGGCGGCGUGCCUAAUACAUGCAAGUCGAGCGGACAGAAGGGAGCUUGCUCCCGGACGUUAGCGGCGGACGGGUGAGUAACACGUAGGUAACCUGCCCCUUAGACUGGGAUAACUCCGGGAAACCGGAGCUAAUACGGGAUAAUAAAGGGAAUCACCUGAUUCUCUUUUGAAAGACGGUUUCGGCUGUCACUAAGGGAUGGGCCUGCGGCGCAUUAGCUAGUUGGUAAGGUAACGGCUUACCAAGGCGACGAUGCGUAGCCGACCUGAGAGGGUGAUCGGCCACACUGGGACUGAGACACGGCCCAGACUCCUACGGGAGGCAGCAGUAGGGAAUCUUCCGCAAUGGACGAAAGUCUGACGGAGCAACGCCGCGUGAGUGAGGAAGGCCUUCGGGUCGUAAAGCUCUGUUGUGAGGGAAGAACAAGUACCGGGGUAACUACCGGUACCUUGACGGUACCUCACCAGAAAGCCACGGCUAACUACGUGCCAGCAGCCGCAGUAACAC